rnacentral:rRNA from 1 species
UACGGAGGAUGCGAGCGUUAUCCAGAUUUAUUGGGUUUAAAGGGUGCGUAGGCGGACGCUUAAGUCAGCGGUAAAAUUGCGGGGCUCAACCUCGUCGAGCCGUUGAAACUGGGGGCCUUGAGUGGGCGAGAAGAAGGCGGAAUGCGUGGUGUAGCGGUGAAAUGCAUAGAUAUCACGCAGAACCCCGAUUGCGAAGGCGGCCUUCCGGCGCCCUACUGACGCUGAGGCACGAAAGUGCGGGGAUCGAACAGG